rnacentral:lncRNA from 1 species
GCACAGGAGGUGGAGAGUUUCGAACCUGAGGAUGCAGCUGAGGAAGAGGAUGUCAACUUUGUCAGUGGAUCAGGAUUUCAGGGUCAGAGGUUUGGUAAUCAGCAAGGUAACAGAAGCUACAGUGGAAAUUACAGUGGAAAUUACAGUGGAAACAAUCAGAGGAAUACCUUCAACAGUAAUCAGAACUUCUCUGGUUACACGCCUAAGCCUCAGUACCAGAAACCUUUUUCGAGCAACAGUUUUUCCAGAAACUACAGCACUCCUUCAUCUCAACCUCAAAAUCCUGACAAUGAGAUGAAGUCUAUGCUGGAACAGAUUCUGGAAGGUCAGCAGAAGCUCACCGUGGACUUUAAUGGGAAG